CCGCUUCACAACCAUGGUGGAUAACGGCAGCUCCAUAAGAGCAAGCUAAACAACUUGAGUCUCGUUUCUCUCGCGUUGAAGCUUCUAGCUAGGUCAAAUCAACGAGGGGCUCAAGAAGACCAAACUUGCUGAGCUGAAACAGAAGCUUGAUUUGUUGCUGCGCUAAAAAGGGUUAAAUGUGGUGGAAACAGUACAGAUUGGCCUGAAAUUCAAUCCUUCUGGCCCUGUCAAUUUGGGUUCACCGCUACAAGAACCUGGGUUAGAAAAUGUCGCAAAUGCUUACAGAUUUACCGAAUUCCAGAGGAACAGGAGUAAGCUGCCAUGCUUUUGGAGGGGAAGGAAAACAUUUGGUUUCAGGGCUUUAACCACACCAUCCACCCAUCGAGGCUUUCCAUCCUUUUGCCACCACCUCCCAAUCGAAACUCUCCACCCUAUUCCCCUAACACAACAACCCAAACCGGUACCCAUAAUCAUAGCACUUGCAACAAACCACCAUUUCCUCAUUUUCCACUCAGAAACCCUAAUGUUUCAAGUGUGGGUAUCCAUGUUUUCCUGAUCAUCAAUGCAAAGGGAAGGAUUUAAAUAGUCUUGAGUCUUUGGAAGACAUGGUAGAGGAGUUUGAUGAUGGAGAGUUAACGGAUGGGUUGAUUGAGAUUGACGAGUAGCUCGUAGAGGAGUAUGGGUUGUCAGUGAAUGCAAUUCCUGGCAGCAUCACUUGCAACACUAUUCUAAUUGAAGGGGAAACUAAUAAACUACCAUUAGCCAUCCUCAUUGACAGUGGAAGCGCGCACAGUUUUGUAGAUGUCAAUAGAAUUCCAAUUCUCGUUGUUGGGGGAAGUGAAUAAAAAAAUGACAAACCACUACCGCUGUUCCUCUCAGUGUAAUAGUAGCUGAAGGUAGUGUGAUUCAGUGUAGAGCCAAAUGUCGAAAUUCUGAAUGACAAGCGCAAUGACAUGUUUUUUUUUUAACUAAUCCGCUAGUUCUGCGGUCGGGGGGCAAUGACAUGGUGCUUGGGGCUGAUUUGAUGAAGGCAUGCAGCCCAAUUUUGUCUGAUUUCUUGAAGAUGAGCUUGACCUUCUAGAAGGACGGCCAAGAAAUAGUUCUUAAGGGAAUUAUUGGUAAUCAGGGGUUGAAUUAAAAAUGAUUAUCGCAGAGUAAGUACAAAAGGCUCUGUACCAGGAUGUCUAUGGACUGGUGGCUCAAUUGUUUGCUAUCCAUGGGCAAGAACAAAAGCUUGAGGAGAUUCAGCCUGUGGUGCAUGAUUUGUCACUGGAAUUCGAUGCAAUCUUCGCUCAACCUACUCAGCUACCACCAAGCAGGGAGUGUGAUCACUGGUUUCCACUGGAAGAAGGCACUAAACCAGUCAAUCCUUGACCAUAUAGACAUUCCCAUGGCCAAAAGGAUGUGAUGGAGAAACUGGUUAAGAAAAUGCUAGAUUCCUCCAUAAUUCAAGUGAGUCACAGCCCUUUCUCUUCACCAGUACUACUGGUACAGAAGAAAGACAACACUCCGAGAUUCUGUGAGUUAUACAGUGAUGAACGGUUUUCCAAGAUCGAUUUGUGAGCUGGAUAUCAAAAGCACACAGCACGCUCGUGAUGAACGGUUUUCCAAGAUCGAUUUGUGAGCUGGAUAUCAAAAGCACACGGCACGCUCAAUUUCUGAGAAAGAGUUCUUGGCUAUAUUGCUAGCAGUUCAGAAAUGGAGGUACUACCUGGAGAGUAAGAAAUUUAUUUUCAAGAGAGCUUGAAAUACAUGUUAGAGCAGCGCAUCAACACUUCUAUCCAAAAGAAAGGGCUCAAGAAAUUGUAGGGGAUCCAAUAUGAGAUUCACAGCACCUAUAAGAGAGUGAAGAAUUCUUUUUUGUUGGCCUAAAUUGAAAGAUAGUGUAAAGAGAGUGGUGGAAGAAUGUGAUCCACGUGCCAGAAACGAAAGUGAGAUUGUAGCAUACCCCGGGUUGCUGCAAUCUCUACCCACUCCUCCUCGUUCUUGGAGUGACAUCACUACGGACUUCAUUGAAGGAGGUCGUUGACAGGUUCAUAUAAUAUACCCAUUUUCUUACUCUGAGUCAUCCUUUUACAGCUUUGAAUAUGGCCAAAUUUUUUUCAAGCAUGUUUAUAAAUUGGAAGGUGUUCCAGCUCGCAAGUGACUGACAGCGACAGGUUACUCGUUACCUUGUUUUGGAGAGAAUUUUUGAGACUAAUGGGCGCUGAGUCGCGUUCUAGUUCAACACAUCACCCAAUCAGAUGGGCAGACAAAAAAGUAGAAUAGAAGUCUGCAUACUUUUUUGAGGUGCAUGACUUUCCAGGGGCAUAAGCAGUGGCGCAAAUGGAUUUCUUUGGCUGAAUUUCGGUACAAUACCAGUUUUCAUUCAGAAAUUGAGAUGACUCCUUACCAAGCUCUGUAUGGGAUACCCCAACCAGUGGCCAGUAUUGCUGAAUUGUUGCAAGAGAAAACUCAGGUGGUGGCAUUGCUCAAGGAAAAUUUGUAGAAGACUCGAAAUUGGAUGAAACAAGAAGCUAACAAGGGCAAAACUGAGCGCAAUUUUUGUGGGGGUGGCCACGUUUACCUCAAGCUGUAACCUUAGAGACAGAUUUCAGUAUCCAUGCAGAAAGAACCUCUUUAGGGUCUUAAAUCCAUUCAGCCUUCCAUGUUUCAUUAAUCAAAGAGGAAACUAGGAGCCAAGGUGGUUCCAGACAGUGAGUUAAAAGCUACUAAUGAUCAGGGUGAGAACGUUGUCGUAUCUAGGAGGUUGAUUAAACGAAGUUGUCGUUCAAAGGUUAAUUCAGUGGUUUAAACUGUUACCAGAAGAGGCCGCCCCUAGAAGAUCUCUCUCUAAUUGAAAGUCAGGUUCCAGAUUUUCAGGACUGAUUAUGCUUGUGGACAAUGUUGCCCUUCUUGUUAUUUUAACUCUGCAAUGUCGUUUAUAUCUUUAGCUGUUGUCGUUUGUUAUUAUUAUUAUUAUUGUUUUUGUUUUUUGUGCGCUCAUUACGGUGUCGUGGAGAAUAUCUUCCGGUAACGGGCGGAGGUUUAUUAGUCGCACGUGUCGUAAACUUAUGGUUUAUUUAUAGUCAAUAUGUUAUUGUUGUAAGUGCACUCACGAGAAGAGAAGGUCAAUAAGGAGAAAUAAUAAUCUGUUACUUUCU